ACACAGACAUACUAACACACACACAUACAUACUAACACACACACACACACACACACACACACACAUACAUACUAACACACACAGGCAUACUAACACACACAGGCAUACUAACACACACACAGACAUACUAACACACACAGACAUACUAACACACACACACACAGACAUACUAACAAACACACACACACAGACAUACUAACACACAAACACAGACAUACUAACACACACAGGCAUACUAACACACACAAGCAUACUAACACACACAGGCAUACUAACACACACACACAGACAUACUAACAAACACACACACACAGACAUACUAACACACAAACACAGACAUACUAACACACACAGGCAUACUAACACACACACACAGACAUACUAACACACAAACACAGACAUACUAACACACACACACAGACAUACUAACACACACAAACACAGACAUACUAACACACAAACACAGACAUACUAACACACACAGACAUACUAACACACAAACACAGACAUACUAACACACACACAUACUGACAUACAUUUAGCCACCCUCCAGGUUCUUACCUUUUUAUGGAGGGUGGUUUCCCUGGGGUCCAGUGGCAGGCUGAGGCAGAUGGGAG